UUUUAUUUUUAUUUUGUUUUGUUUUGUCUUGUUUUUUUGUGACUGUUAUAAUGAGUGUGGCAUUUCGCAUUCAAUUCCGUCACAAAAGAAUUGUCUACUGCCUAGGCAUGUAAAAGCAAUAGUCUCCAGGCGUAUCUUUCUUCCCUUUGUCAAUGCUUCGCCUUACCCCGUACCUAACGUCACCAUAUUAUAAAGGCAGGAAGAUGAAGGUAGGUAGGUCACGUGACCUUAUUGCAUAAUUAUACUUAUUAGUUAUUAGGUACCGGUAAGCACACUACUUAGCCUACUGAACAGAUUUUCAAAAAUUCGCUUAAAACCAAUGACUACUUUAUCAAUCAUUAUUACUUACUCUUACUACUUACAGGCCGCCUUCAAGUUAAACACAAUUAGUUGGGAACCAAGGCUGUAAAGUACAGGUUUAUAGCAAUUCAGCUGUCGACCUUAUAUAAUGACUUUUCUGUAAAUGAGUUCGUUUUUUGAUAGUUGUCUUUGUUCAGAAAUUGUUAAAUCAACAUUUUGUGGAAAUAGCCUGACAGUAGACAGGUGGACACUCUCAGACACUUGGGCAUGCGCGAGAUGAAAAGGCAAAAACUCCACCUGAUAUUGGGUACGGAUUGUACAAAAAUCGGUGGAUGUGGACACGGGCGGGAGAAGGUCAUUGACUGACGAGAUGAGUCCGAUCAGUCGACGACUUACAGAGCUAUGAUCCCUAUAAGCUUGCAACCAUCGAUUCAGAUUUACAACAUUUUGGAAGCUAUGAUCAAGGUAUUAUAUUUUAACGGUUCUGGCAACCCCGUGAUGAAGAUGAUCCGGACAACCGCCAUGAUAAGAUCUCUGGAGACAAGAUACGUUGUGAAAAAACCGUGUGAUUCAACAUUAAAGCUUGAAAAUAAUUCAACUGGACAGGGCACUCGCUGAGGAAAUAACGAAGUAUUUAAGCCUAGAUUGUUAGUUUCAAGAUAAUGUUAAUUUUUUUAUAUUUCAUUAUUAUUAUAAAUAUUUAAUCUAUAACAAUAUUAUUGUCUUUAUUUGUAUUACUUUGAAAAAUUCGUAUGAGCUUACCUUAAGGCUACGUUGACCGAUAACAUAUCCAUAUAUUCGUGAGCUAAAUAUUCUCUUUUAUUUUGGCCUCUGCAACUGUUAAAAAUAAAGAAUCUGAGAGGGAAACGAAGAGCUUCUUCUACUUCGUCUGUCGUCUGCUAGUGUUAAUAAUGCAACAAAGACUGCAACAAUUAUGGAGAAAGCGUAUACAAACAAAUUCAAAUGUAUUCGUCAACUGCAUGAUAAGUACGCCUUUUAAUGAAAACAUUAUUCUCUAUCCAGUUCCAAGCUGCAUAUUUUAAGCAUUAGUGAUUGUAAAUUUCUUAUUUGAUUACGCGUAAAUGAGAUGGAGUGCAUAAGGCUAUGUCUUAAAAUUCUGAUACAGAUAUAAGGGCAAUGAAUAUUAAGUUCCGCAGACGACAUUUUGUACUUAUUCAUCGACUGCUCAAAUGUUUUCUAGUGCAAUUGAUUAUUUCGACGGUGUAACAUCUACGUGAUUUGACUCGGGGAUGCAUAUUUUGCAGAUGUGUAUACGAAUGCGUGUUGUGUAAAGUAACAAGCGUUACUCGCAAAUCUAAUCUUUAUUUAUGUGAUCAUUCAGACGAAAGGUGUGUAAAUAUUUAUAUACAUAAGCACAUAAAUGAAUGUGAAAAACGCUAGGGUGAUUCUACGACUUAAAUUGAGCGUGAAUGAACGGUUUUGUGAAAGUUUGAAAAAGUCGUUACGGCAACAUUUUCCAAAUAAAAAAAUCGUGUGUACAUUUUGAAAAACAAAACGCUUGGAGACGCUUUUUCAAAAAGAAUAAAUUUACAACCUUUGGAGGAAGCUUGUGUUUAUCACUGAGUGUUGUGAUUCGCUCAGUGGCGGGUUUAGUCUUAUAACUUGUCUCCAUCUCGCUUACUGUAUAUUUGGAAAUUUAUCGAUUUAAUGCGGAUAUAUAUGGAUUAGUAUGCUUGGGGCCAAAACAUUGCUAAGAGAUACAGAUGAAAUAUUGAUGUUGGCGUCCAUGAAAUGAACUUAAGGCAUUAUGAAUACUGAUAGAUUUUUCUUAGUCUGUUUCUAGAAUGAUUCGAAUAAAAACUUUAUAUUAUAAA
rnacentral:lncRNA from 1 species